rnacentral:rRNA from 1 species
GCGACGACGGGUAGCCGGCCUGAGAGGGUGACCGGCCACACUGGGACUGAGACACGGCCCAGACUCCUACGGGAGGCAGCAGUGGGGAAUAUUGCACAAUGGGCGCAAGCCUGAUGCAGCGACGCCGCGUGAGGGAUGACGGCCUUCGGGUUGUAAACCUCUUUCAGCAGGGAAGAAGCGAAAGUGACGGUACCUGCAGAAGAAGCACCGGCUAACUA